rnacentral:rRNA from 1 species
GAUGAACGCUGGCGGCGUGCCUAAUACAUGCAAGUCGAGCGAACAGAUGAGGAGCUUGCUCCUCUGACGUUAGCGGCGGACGGGUGAGUAACACGUGGAUAACCUACCUAUAAUACUGGGAUAACUUCGGGAAACCGGAGCUAAUACCGGAUAAUAUAUUGAACCGCAUGGUUCAAUAGUGAAAGACGGUUUUGCGGUCACUUAUAGAUGGAUCCGCGCCGCAUUAGCUAGUUGGUAAGGUAACGGCUUACUAAGGCAACGAUGCGUAGCCGACGGGAGAGGGUGGUCGCCGACCUGGGAACUGGACCGGCCACCAGGGUCCUACGGGAGGCCGCAGAAGGCAACCUUACGCAGUGGGCGAAAGCAUUACGGAAUAGGGCGGAGUGAGAUACAACGGUCUUGGGAUCGUAAAACUCUGUUAUUAGGUAAAAACAACUGUCUAAUUAAACAUGCCCGUCUUGACGGUACCUAAUAAAAAAGCAACGGCUAACUACGUG